AUGCUCUUAUCCCUCUCUCUCGCCCCGACCACACACUACCAGAAACCUAGUUCGCUGGAUCCGCCGCCGGACGCAACCUACCACCCCUAGCCGUCGUGCUCCAGGCUGCCGGACGACGCCCUCCCGCCAGACCACGAAACUCUCCUCUCACGCAACCAACGAGCGGCCUCUCCUCGUUCCCAAAUCAGCCGUCUCCCCUCGUUCCCACCUACUCAGAUUCGUCGCCCAUCUUCCUACUCAUAUUCGCCCAGGUGGGCGAGACUGUGGCAACGGAGGAGGACGCCGCCGUACGAAUCGACGACGAGGCCAAACUCUAGGUCUGGAACACGUGCGAGUUCACAGCUCAGUAAGUCCCAGAUGCGAGCCAACCAAGGGACGCACACAGGUCUGGUCCAAGCUUCGGCGACCGCCGCAGCCUCCGGCAUUUUCCUGCUACGUGCGGCGGCACCGACCUGACUUCGAUAUGUUGACCUCACAAGGCGCCGAGGUGAGGCAAGCUGAGGCGACAAGGGAGAGAUCCGGCGCGGAGUUCUAAGUUCUGCCUACAUCUCCGCCAGACCUCGUCCGCCUUCAGGUUAUUGCUAUAAAGCAGCUCAAUAGGGAUGGUAAUCAAGGAAACAGAGAAUUUUUGGUGGUGGUUCUGAUGGAAAAGGCACUGGAGCAGCUUAAAAUUAUUGAUGGAAAGGGCACUGGUUUGUUCAACCGAACACAUCUGUCAGGGCCUGAGGAGAAGAGCACAAUCACGGAGAUAGGGGCGUAGGUGCCUUGCCGGUGUACUUGACCGGGAGCUGACAGCCGAGUACGAAAUCGCCGCCCCCAGCAGAAGAGAUGGUCGGGUGCCCUCAGCUGACGGGAUCGCCGCCCGCCCCCUAGCAGAAGAGAAGGGCGCCAAUGUGGGGAAGAACGGUAGAAGUUGAAAUUCAAACAGAACGAUAGAAGUUGAAAUCCGAAAUUCAAACAUAACAAUACACACGUACUUUCGCUGUAUUUCAGGGUUGUUGGAAUUUUCUCCAACGUCUUAUACAGUGUAAUGGAGCGAGUAUGUGUGAGACUAAUGCACCAUUAUCGCCUGUGUUUUAUGUUCAUUCUCUUCUGCUGUCAUGGUGCAUAUUCU